UGCCGGGUGGACGAAUUGGAAAGUCGCAUCGCUCUGAACGAUGAGGUUGCAGGUACCCUUCGGGAAGCCGCUACCGCGUCUACAAACCCUGCCCUGGCAACCA
rnacentral:tRNA from 1 species